GCCGGGCACGGUGGCGCGUGCCUGUAGUCCCAGCUACUAGGGAGGCUGAGGCUGAGGAUCUCUUGAGCCCAGGAGUUCUGGGCUGUUGUGCGCUAUGCUGAUCAGGUGUCCGCACUAAGUUCGGCAUCAAUAUAGUGACCUCCUGGGAGCGGGGGACCAGCAGGUUGCCUAAGGAGGGGUGAACCGGCCCAGGUCAGAAAUGGAGCAGGUCAAAACUCCUGUGCUCAUCAGUACUGGGAUUGUGCCUGUGAACAGCCACUGCACUCCAGCCUGGGCAACACGGGCAGACCCUGUCUCUU
rnacentral:SRP_RNA from 1 species